rnacentral:rRNA from 1 species
UACGGGGGGAGCAAGCGUUGUUCGGAUUUACUGGGCGUAAAGGGCGCGUAGGCGGUCAGCACAAGUCAGUUGUGAAAUCUCCGGGCUUAACUCGGAAAGGUCAACUGAUACUGUGCGACUAGAGUGCAGAAGGGGCAACUGGAAUUCUCGGUGUAGCGGUGAAAUGCGUAGAUAUCGAGAGGAACACCUGCGGCGAAGGCGGGUUGCUGGGCUGACACUCACGCUGAUGCGCGAAAGCCAGGGGAGCGAACGGG